rnacentral:rRNA from 1 species
UGCCGAAGGGUGACGAUGCGACGCCGCGUGAGCGAAGAAGGCCCUAGGGUUGUAAAGCUCUGUCAGGGGUUAAGAAAUGUAGAUAGGUUAAUACCCUGUUUAUUUGACAAAAGCCCCAAAGGAAGCCACGGCUAACUCUGUGCCAGCAGCCGCGGUAAUACAGAGGUGGCAAGCGUUGUUCGGUAUUAUUGGGCGUAAAGAGCACGUAGGUGGUUUUGUAAGUCAGAUGUGAAAGCCUUCUGUUCAAAGGAAGAACGGCAUCUGAAACUGCAAAUCUUGAGUGUAGGAGGGGAGAGUGGAACUUCUGGUGGAGCGGUGAAAUGCGUAGAUAUCAGAAGGAACGUCGGCGGCGAAAGCGACUCUCUGGCCUAUUACUGACACUGAGUGUGCGAAAGUUAGGGGAGCAAACGGGAUUAGAUACCCCGGUAGUCCUAACCGUAAACGAUGGGCACUAAGUAGAGGGGU